UGGAAUACUUGAACUACCAU
rnacentral:snRNA from 1 species